UGGGAACGUGCCCAAAGGUACGGAACAACUCCGGGAAACUGGAGCUAAUACCGUAUGUGCCCGAAAGGGGAAAGAUUCAUCGCCUUUGGAUCGGCCCGCGUCUGAUUAGCUAGUUGGCGGGGUAAUGGCUCACCAAGGCGACGACGGGUAGCCGGCCUGAGAGGGUGACCGGCCACACUGGGACUGAGACACGGCCCAGACUCCUACGGGAGGCAG
rnacentral:rRNA from 1 species